GCUCCCUUAGCUCAACGGAUAGAGCAGCGGCCUUCUAAGCCGUUGGUUGGAGGUUCGAGUCCUCCAGGGAGCGCGA
rnacentral:tRNA from 1 species